rnacentral:rRNA from 1 species
UACGUAGGGAGCAAGCGUUAUCCGGAUUUACUGGGUGUAAAGGGAGCGUAGACGGCACUGCAAGUCUGGAGUGAAAGCCCGAGGCCCAACCACGGGACUGCUCUGGAAACUGCGGGGCUGGAGUGCAGGAGGGGUAAGCGGAAUUCCUAGUGUAGCGGUGAAAUGCGUAGAUAUAUGGAAGAACACCAGUGGCGAAAGCGGCUCUCUGGUCUGUAACUGACGCUGAGGUUCGAAAGCGUGGGUAGCAAACAGG